CAAAACAAGCCCAGGCUGGUAUCCUGACCUUUUAUAUGGCAGCUUUCACCAAGGAAUGCAAAGCAUUUUAUGGCAUUGAAUUGUGGUCAUUAGGCCUGGCAAGUUGGGCAAGAGCUGCGAGGCUUAUUUUUAUGAAGGGAUAAAAUACUCAGCCCAGAACUUGAGUGCUUCAUCCAACACUUACAACAAACUGGCAGCAGGAGAGGCAGUGAGUCUGUCUUCUGUCCUUCAUUUUCCUGCCUUCAUUUAGAACUCCAACGGCUCUUCCUCUUUUUGAGAUUUCUUAUUUGCCAGUUGACAGGCCGGAGGCUAACUGAGAAGUCAGCAGAGAGGUCAUUGCUCUGUCGAGUCUCCCAGCUGUGGUUGCAUGAGGUGGGGAGCUCUGAAAUGGUAAUGAUCCCAAGCUUGCCAAAUAAGAAUGGGAAGAGUCUCCUGGCCUAAGAUUUCAUGGAAAAGAAAACGGAAGCAGGCCCAGGUGCAGGGCAGAAAAGGGAGCCAGCAGACCCUGGGCCAUAGAGCGAAGGAAGCAGAGAGAACGCUCAGGGGAGUGAGGUCAGCUCCGGGACAGGACAUCUCCUUGCAAGCUGAGGAGCACCCUCCAGUCUCUGCUGCUGUACUCGGAGUGAAUGCAGUGGCACAGCGGUGAUAGUUGCCAUAGAGAGGGACAAAUAGACUAUUGUUUAGUGCAAGGACUUGAUUUCUGCCAGAAAGUUUCACACUCAAAAUAAAUAUUAUAUAUGGCUCCCAUCAGAAGUAUCUACUCUAGAAAGAAGAAAAAUGUCUAUUUUCUGAGGUGUUUUAAUAAAGUGCUUUAAUUCUAGAUGUCCAUAA